rnacentral:tRNA from 1 species
AUUUAGAUAGUUUAAAAUAUAAGAAUAGUAAAUUGUGGAUUUACAGGUGUUAAUUAUAAUUCUAGAUC